UGAUACCACUGCUGGUGUUGAUUUGGAAAAUAAAAAACGUAAAUCGCGUCGCGCAAGUGUCAUAAAUAGUCACAUAAAUAGAGGCAGCUACAGCAACGAAGACAAUGACGAUGAGAUUUUGACCGAACGUUAUAAACAACAAAUAUAUUUAAAUACAGAUAUAUUAAAAGAUAUACUACAAAUUGAUAGUGAAAAUAGUAACGAAAAUUUGAAUAAUUUAAAUAUAUGUCCAGAAUUAAAUUAUUUCAAAGAAGAAGUAGAUAAAUAUAGAUUAAAAAAAAGUGAUUCUAAAAGUUAUGAUGAAAUAGAUGAUACUCAUUAUGAUUUUAAUUUGAAUGAUGGUGAAGGACAGUCACAUAUGAACAUGAAAAAAAUGGAUAAUUCAUGUGAAUAUGAAAAUAAAAAAGAUUUAAAUGUAGGUGAUAGUGGUAUGUUAUCUCUAGAUAUGAUGAAUGAAUUUGAAGAUAAUAAUCUUAAUAAUAGUAUAAUGAAAUGGUCAGAUAAGAAAACUUUGAAUAGUAGUAUGAACCAUAGUAUGAGGCAUAGUGUUAAUUAUGCAGCUAACUCUGGUAAUACAAACUUUGGGAAUAAUUUAGGUAUAGAUUACAAUCGAAUAGAUGAUUUGAAUAUAGAGAAUGUAAUGCAAGAGUCUAUGGCAUUUGAUAUGAUGAAUUUAAAUGAUUCUUUUGGAAAUAAUAUAAAUAUGUCACAAAAUACUUUUGCNNNNNNNNNNGCUAGUACUUUUGGGGAAGGUGAUACCACUGCUGGUGUUGAUUUGGAAAAUAAAAAACGUAAAUCGCGUCGCGCAAGUGUCAUAAAUAGUCACAUAAAUAGAGGCAGCUACAGCAACGAAGACAAUGACGAUGAGAUUUUGACCGAACGUUAUAAACAACAAAUAUAUUUAAAUACAGAUAUAUUAAAAGAUAUACUACAAAUUGAUAGUGAAAAUAGUAACGAAAAUUUGAAUAAUUUAAAUAUAUGUCCAGAAUUAAAUUAUUUCAAAGAAGAAGUAGAUAAAUAUAGAUUAAAAAAAAGUGAUUCUAAAAGUUAUGAUGAAAUAGAUGAUACUCAUUAUGAUUUUAAUUUGAAUGAUGGUGAAGGACAGUCACAUAUGAACAUGAAAAAAAUGGAUAAUUCAUGUGAAUAUGAAAAUAAAAAAGAUUUAAAUGUAGGUGAUAGUGGUAUGUUAUCUCUAGAUAUGAUGAAUGAAUUUGAAGAUAAUAAUCUUAAUAAUAGUAUAAUGAAAUGGUCAGAUAAGAAAACUUUGAAUAGUAGUAUGAACCAUAGUAUGAGGCAUAGUGUUAAUUAUGCAGCUAACUCUGGUAAUACAAACUUUGGGAAUAAUUUAGGUAUAGAUUACAAUCGAAUAGAUGAUUUGAAUAUAGAGAAUGUAAUGCAAGAGUCUAUGGCAUUUGAUAUGAUGAAUUUAAAUGAUUCUUUUGGAAAUAAUAUAAAU
rnacentral:lncRNA from 1 species